CACAAAGCAGAUGGACUGGCGAGGUGUCACAGGGCUUGUGUUCAAGGGACCCUUAUUUUACUCAAUAAUGGCCCCAAAGCCCAAUAGUAGUGGUGCUGAUAAUUCAGAUAUGCCAAACCUUACAGUGCUUUUUUUUUUUUUUUUAACAUGUUAAGUGCCAAGCCUGUUUUUUCUUCCUUUCUGUUAGCCCGCAAUAUCCGAUUUCACCAAUAUGCUGGUUGCACCAGUGACUGAUGAGGUCCGCAUGGAAAGUAUAGUGUCAGUCACCGGUGACUGACAUGGCGUUUAACGUGUUAAUCUUUAUAGGAAAAGAUG